AACGAACGCUGGCGGCAUGCCUAACACAUGCAAGUCGAACGAGACCUUCGGGUCUAGUGGCGCACGGGUGCGUAACGCGUGGGAACCUGCCCUUAGGUUCGGAAUAACUCCCCGAAAGGGGUGCUAAUACCGGAUAAUGUCUUCGGACCAAAGAUUUAUCGCCUUUGGAUGGGCCCGCGUUGGAUUAGCUAGUUGGUAGGGUAAAAGCCUACCAAGGCGACGAUCCAUAGCUGGUCUGAGAGGAUGAUCAGCCACACUGGGACUGAGACACGGCCCAGACUCCUACGGGAGGCAGCAGUGGGGAAUGGUGGACGAUGGGCGAAAGCCUGAUCCAGCAAUGCCGCGUGAGUGAUGAAGGCCUUAGGGUUGUAAAGCUCUUGUACCCGGGAUGAUAAUGACAGUACCGGGAGAAUAAGCUCCGGCUAACUCCGUG
rnacentral:rRNA from 1 species